AUACUUACCUUCUUGACACUGGGGCGCUCAAGAAUGCUUCCAGUGGCGAGUCAGGACCUCCAUUGCACAGCGGGGAGUUGGGACUCGCUGAUUUUCUUUCGGGAACGUCAUCGGGAGAAUUUUUGAUUGCAAACAUUUAUUAAUACCAAUUUUC
rnacentral:snRNA from 14 species